rnacentral:lncRNA from 1 species
AAUUCUACCUAUCCUAUAAAUUUGAAAAAAAUUGAACGGCUAGAUCAAGAGUUAUGAAUUUCUAUAGUUUAAGACAGGAAAACUCUUUGCGGAAAAAAUAUGUUUUGAAGGGAUUUUGUUAUAUUUUGAGUUUUAUGUAAAAUAAAGGAGUUUUGGAAGCUAAUAUAAGAUUCAUAUAAAGGUUUAAGCUAAACUUUCUUGAGCUAGAUACCUAGUAUAUUCUCAAAUAAUAAAUCAUGCUAUACGACACCGAGUCAAUAAGUGAUCUUGAAAUUGAAUCUAGAUAAAGACAUACUAGAAUGGGCUU